GUACACACAAUAAUAAUUCCAUCCAAAGAAUCUUAAUUAUUAAUCCUUUUAGCUGUAAUUAGUCCACCACUUAUCGUAUCGUAAUCGUAUCCAAGUCUGAGUACGAGUAUCGUAGUCGGCAGUGGAAGAUUCAAACGCAAAUAUUAAUAAAUUAAUCAAACAAAUAUUAAUUAAAUUAAAGAGAAAAAGAAAAAAAUUUGAUUAAACCGUCCUUCCACACAAUAAUAAAUUUAUUUAUUUAUUUAUUUAUUUAUUUAUUUAUAUAUGUUAUAUGUUAUAGUUAGUGUGUCAACAAUCUCGUGUUCCAAUAGGGAGAGAGUCGGUCAUGAAGUCCCACCUCUCCUCACCCUUAUAAAUAUCACCCUUCCCUAACCUUUUUAUCUCCACCCACCAUUUGAGCUAGCUCUUAUAACUCAUUAUUAUUAAAAAUAAAUUACACCAAAGUUAUUAUUGUAAUAAGUUUCAUUUUUUUUUUUCUAAACUAUUGAUAAGCUAAAGUAGUAGUAUUUAUUUUCCUUGGUUGGAGUUCUUGGCGUGAUGAUUUAAAAGUAAAGGAGAAUCUGUAAAGCUCAGGAGGGAUAGCGCCGUGACUAACUUAUAUUGUUUACAAAUGAAAAAUAAAAUGUUUUCAAAGAAAAAGUUCCAUGGCGCUAUCUAUCCUGAGUUUCAUGGCUUCUUCUUACUAAAUCAGACUCUAAUAUGUCAACGGCGCUGUUGAUGGUGGAUGUGACUGUGGUUAUGGUGAAAAGUUGUUAUGUUCUGAGUCUUUAUGUUUUUUGUCUCCAAAAGCUUGUGCAAAAAAAUAGGGGUAAGCUCUUUCUUCCUUUGACAUCGUCCUUGUUCAACGGUAUAUAUUUAUUUCAUGUGAUGUGGGGAUAUAUAUAGUAUUUUAACAUUUUUUGUUUCUUUCUUUUAUAUCCAUAUGCACAUACAUAUACUCAUACUCAUACUCAUACUUAUAUUCCUAUGAUUCUUUCUAUAGAUCUUAUUUUAUUAAUUUUGCUAAAGCUAAGAUAAAAAUAUAUAAACCCUAAAGUGAUCGACGUACAAAGUUGUUAUGACUGAAAGAGAAACUAGAUUUCUUACACUGAUCUUUAAUAAGCUCUUUCGCUAGCUAGUACUAAAUAUAUAUAUAUACACACACAUAGUGGUCUUAAUAUCAAUUUUUGUUUCUUGAAAAAACUUGAUAAAUGAUAAUAUGAAGCGAUUAACUUGGGUCGUACUAUAUACUACUUUCUUCUUAUUCUUUCCGGGAACAGAAAAUGUUAUCCUAUGGAGAUUAAACGUACUGUGUUAUUUUCUAUUAGAUUUUUGUUUUUCUUUUUUUAUUUGUGGUGUUUUUAUUGGGAUCAUGUGUUUUGUCCAGAUGAAACCCUAGCUAUUGGAAACAGAAUUUUCUAGCAAAAAGAAAAAGAAGAAGAAGACAAAAUAGUGUACAUGUUUUUUGAAAUUUACUUUAUGGGAACUUUCUUUUUACUCUGGUAUUGGGACUUUUUUUAAAAUGGGGUCAGAUACAACUUUUUAGUUGCAGGGUGUGUCUGAAACAAACCCUAAAUAUCUCGUUCAGAAUAAAAAAUUGUUAGCAGUUGAGAAAGGUGAGUUAGGGUUUUUAUGCCUUGACUGAAACUUUUGCAGGCUUUUCAAUAAUGUGGAUGUUGACCACUUUUUCAAACUUUGAUCAGAUCAUGGACUCCUCGCUUUUUCUCUUGUGUACAAAGAACCCAUAUACCUAAUAAAAUCUCUCCUUCCCUCCAUAAUUUCCUGUCCUGUUUCUGACCCAUACGAAUUAAAUGGCCACGUGUCCUCUGCAAUAAACUGUGUUUCCAAAUUUAAUUUAAAGAGCUAAAAAAAGCAAAAAUAUGUAUACCUAUUAUUUUUUUUUUGAAAAAAAAUAUCACUCCAAUAAGUUA